rnacentral:lncRNA from 1 species
AGUGCCCCGAGAAGGGCCGAGACUGCUGGCCCAGGAGUCCUGCAUUCAUCCUCGCUCUGCCACCUGUUGCUGGGCAACCUUGAACAGGUUACUUCAUCUCUCUGUGCCUCAGUUUCACGGCUCUCUGAAGGAGCCGGACCCUCUCCCACUCCGGCAUUACCUCUCCCUGGAACUCCUCGCACACAGCCCUCCCCCUGCUCAGCCUGGUGAAGCUGGCUUUUCCCUUGGGCCUCAGCGUCAUAAAACAGGUCUCUCUCUCUCGACCCUCUUUUCUAAGAAAGGUCCUGCUGCUGGACUUUACC